rnacentral:rRNA from 1 species
UGGGGAAUAUUGCACAAUGGGGGAAACCCUGAUGCAGCGACGCCGCGUGAGCGAAGAAGGUUUUCGAAUCGUAAAGCUCUGUCCUAUGAGAAGAUAAUGACGGUAUCAUAGGAGGAAGCCCCGGCUAAAUACGUGCCAGCAGCCGCGGUAAUACGUAUGGGGCUAGCGUUAUCCGGAUUUACUGGGCGUAAAGGGUGCGUAGGUGGUCCUUCAAGUCGGUGGUUAAAGGCUACGGCGCAACCGGAGUAAGCCGCCGAAACUGGAGGACUUGAGUGCAGGAGAGGAAAGUGGAAUUCCCAGUGUAGCGGUGAAAUGCGUAGAUAUUGGGAGGAACACCAGUAGCGAAGGCGGCUUUCUGGACUGCAACUGACACUGAGGCACGAAGGCGGGGGUAGCAAACAGG